rnacentral:rRNA from 1 species
AGAAUCAACGCUGGCGGCGUGCCUAACACAUGCAAGUCGAACGAGAAAGUGGAGCAAUCCACGAGUAAAGUGGCGCACGGGUGAGUAACACGUGACUAACCUACCCUUGAGUGGGGAAUAACCUCGGGAAACCGGGGCUAAUACCGCAUAACACCUACGGGUCAAAGGAGCAAUUCGCUUAAGGAGGGGUCGCGGCAGAUUAGUUAGUUGGCGGGGUAAUGGCCCACCAAGACGGUGAUCUGUAUCC